rnacentral:rRNA from 1 species
GGGAAAGUCCUUCGGGAUGAGUACAGCGGCAGACGGGUGAGAAACGCGUGAGAAUUUACCAUUCAGUGAGGAAUACCCUCGAGAAAUCGAGGUUAAUACUGCAUACGUCCUACGGGAGAAAGGUGGCCUCUUGCUGCCGCUGAAUGAUUAGCUUGCGUACUAUUAGCUAGUUGGUAGGGUAAAGGCCUACCAAGGCGAUGAUGGUUAGCCGGCCUGAGAGGGUGUACGGCCACACUGGAACUUAGAUACGGUCCAGACUCCUACGGGAGGCAGCAGUGGGGAAUAUUGCGCAAUGGGCGAAAGCCUGACGCAGCGACGCCGCGUGGAGGAUGAAGGUCUUCGGAUUGUAAACUUCUGUUAAGUGGGAAGAAAUGCCCAUCUCUAAUACAGAUGGGAAAUGACGGUACCAUUAGAGAAAGCACCGGCUAACUUCGUGCCAGCAGCCGCGGUAAUACGAAGGGUGCGAGCGUUAUUCGGAAUCAUUGGGCGUAAAGGGUGCGUAGACGGUAUAUUAAGUCUGUUGUUAAAUCCUCCGGCCUAACCGGGGAAUCGCAGUGGAAACUAAUAUGCUAGAGGGUGGAAGAGAGAAGUGGAAUUCUCGGAGUAUCGGUAAAAUGCGUAGAUCUCGAGAGGAACACCAAUGGCGAAGGCAGCUUCUUGGUCCAUACCUGACGUUGANGCACGAAAGCGUGGGGAGCAAACAGGAUUAGAUACCCUGGUAGUCCACGCUGUAAACGAUGAUCACUAGAUGUCAGUUCUGUUUUUACAGAAUUGGUAUCGUAGCUUAACGCGAUAAGUGAUCCGCCUGGGGACUACGAUCGCAAGAUUAAAACUCAAGAAAUUGACGGGGGCCCCCC